rnacentral:rRNA from 1 species
AGCGAAAGCAUUUGCCAAGGAUGUUUUCAUUAAUCAAGAACGAAAGUUAGGGGAUCGAAGACGAUUAGACACCGUCGUAGUCUUAACUAUAAACUAUGCCGACCAGGGAUAUGAGGACUUUUAUUUAUACUAUUAAGUUAGUAUAAUUCCUUGUGCACCUUGUGAGAAAUCAUAAGUGUUUGGGUUCUGGGGGGAGUAUGGUCGCAAGGCUGAAACUUAAAGGAAUUGACGGAGGGGCACCACCAGGAGUGGAGCCUGCGGCUUAAUUUGACUCAACACGGGAAAACUUACCAGGUCCAGACAUUUGAAGGAUUGACAGGUUGAUAGCCCUUUCUUGAUUAAAUGGGUGGUGGUGCAUGGCCGUUCUUAGUUGGUGGAGUGAUUUGUCUGGUUAAUUCCGAUAACGAACGAGACCUCUGCCUUUAAAUAGAGAUAGUUAUGAGAAAUCAUAGCUAGCAAAAACUCUUCUUAAAGGGACUUUUGGUUUUUAAUCCAAAGGAAGUUAGAGGCAAUAACAGGUCUGUGAUGCCCA